rnacentral:rRNA from 1 species
ACUCAAAUGAAUUGACGGGGGAGCGCACAACCAGUGGAGCAUGUGGUUUAAUUCGAUACGAAGCGAAAAACCUUACCUAGGUUUGACAUGUACCUGCACGGCUAUGGAAACAUAGCUUUCUUCGAGAGUGGUACACAGGUGAUGCAUGGCUGUCGUCAGCUCGUGUCGUGAGGCGUCCGCUUAAGUGCGGUAACGAGCGCAACCCUUAUCGCCAGUUAUAUUUGUCUGGCGAGACUGCCUUUGUUUUUACAAGGGAGGAAGGAGAGGACGACGUCAAGUCAGCACGUCCCUUACAUCUAGGGCUACACACAUCCUACAAUGGAGCCGACAACGGGUAGCGAAAUGGUAACAUUGAGCUAAUCCUUAAACGGCCCCUCAGUUCGGAUUGAGGGCUGCAACCCGCCCUCAUGAAGCCGGAAUUGGUAGUAAUCGCAAAUCAUCAGGUUGCGGUGAAUACGUUCUCGCUCCUUGUACACACCGCCCGU